GGAGGUAUUUCUCAAGCGGUAGAGCACUUACCUAACAAGUAGGAGACCCUGAGUUCAAGCCCCUGUACUGCCA
rnacentral:tRNA from 1 species